GAAAUGCGAUAAGUAGUGUGAAUUGCAGAAUUUAGCGAAUCAUCGAAUCUUUGAACGCACAUUGCGCCCCUUGGUAUUCCAUGGGGCAUGCCUGUUCGAGCGUCAUUUCAACCCUCAAGCACUGCUUGGUGUUGGGCAUUUGUCCCGCCUACGCGCGUGGACUCGCCUCAAAGUCAUUGGCAGCUGUUCCCCUUCGGCUCGUAAGCGCAGCACAGUCGGCGCCCGGAGCUCUGGUGGGAUGGCGUCCAGCAAGCUAUAUUUUCAGGCUUGACCUCGGAUCAGGUAGGGAUACCCGCUGAACUUAAGC
rnacentral:misc_RNA from 1 species